CCUUCACCUCUGCCUACCCAUCCAAACUGGCCAUUCCUCCACUAAAGAGGACUUCCUGGAGGAAGAGACCUCCAGGGAAGGGAGAGGUUUGUGGAGUCACAUUGCUUCCUUGGAAAGGUUCUGAGGCCACAGACUGGAAAGAGACUGAUCCCUGUCCUCCACCUCACCCCACCCAAGAGCUCACCGUCCAAAGAGGGAGAGGAAGAGCCAGACACCCAAACCUGUGCUGCCAACAGGAGUAGAUAGAGGAGGUGGGAAAGCCAUCUAACCAGGGGCUAGUAGGAAAUCGCUCAAUAGAAAGUGACAUUUCAGCUGUGUCUUUAAGGAUGAAUGAGGGCAAUGGGAGUGGCAUGCAAAGGACAGAGGUGAGAAGCAUCAGAUAGUCCACCAUGGCAGAAGAGAGAGUGGAUAUGGGUGUGGGGUCAGGGGAGGAGCUAGAUUGGGGCCCACUGUGACUGGCCUUGAAAGCCAGGCUAAAGAAUUUGGACUUAAUCCUGUCGGCAAUACUGAGCCAUCAGAGGUUUUGUAAGUAGGGGAGUAACAUGAUCAGAGCUGUGUUUAAGGAAGAUUAAUUAA
rnacentral:lncRNA from 10 species